CCUACGGGAGGCAGCAGUGAGGAAUAUUGGUCAAUGGGCGCGAGCCUGAACCAGCCAAGUCGCGUGAGGGAAGACGGUCCUAUGGAUUGUAAACCUCUUUUGUCGGGGAGCAAAAGACGCCACGCGUGGCGUUCCGAGAGUACCCGAAGAAAAAGCAUCGGCUAACUCCGUGCCAGCAGCCGCGGUAAUACGGAAGGUCUGGGCGUUAUCCGGAUUUAUUGGGUUUAAAGGGAGCGUAGGCCGCAUGUCAAGCGUGCUGUGAAAUGUCCGGGCUCAACCCGGGCCUUGCAGCGCGAACUGGCGUGCUUGAGUCCGCGGAAAGCAGGCGGAAUUCGUCGUGUAGCGGUGAAAUGCUUAGAUAUCACGCAGAACUCCGAUUGCGAAGGCAGCAUACCGGCGCUCAACUGACGCUGAGGCACGAAAGCGUGGGGAUCGAACAGGAUUAGAUACCCUUGUAGUC
rnacentral:rRNA from 1 species